UACGUAGGGACCAAGCGUUGUUCGGAUUUACUGGGCGUAAAGGGCGCGUAGGCGGCGUGUUAAGUCACUUGUGAAAUCUCUAAGCUUAACUUAGAACGGUCAAGUGAUACUGACGUGCUAGAGUGCAGAAGGGGCAACCGGAAUUCUUGGUGUAGCGGUGAAAUGCGUAGAUAUCAAGAGGAACACCUGAGGUGAAAGACGGGUUGCUGGGCUGACACUGACGCUGAGGCGCGAAAGCUAGGGUAGCAAACGGG
rnacentral:rRNA from 1 species